GACGAACGCUGGCGGCGUGCUUAACACAUGCAAGUCGAACGAAGUGGCGAACGGGUGAGUAAUACGUGGGUAACUGCCCUCCUUUUUGGGAUAAGCCUUGGAAACGGGGAUUAAUACCAAAUGGUCUAAGAUGACUCGCGUCCCAUUAGCUAGUUGGUGAGGUAACGGCCUACCAAGGCGACGACGGGUAGCCGGCCUGAGAGGGCGACCGGCCACAUUGGGCUGAGAUACGGCCCAAACUCCUACGGGAGGCAGCAGUGGGGAAUAUUGCACAAUGGGGGAAACCCUGAUGCAGCAACGCGCGUGCGGGAUGACGGCCUUCGGGUUGUAAACCGCUUUCAGCCAUGACGCGGUAGUGGCAGAAGAAGCACCGGCUAACUACGUGCCAGCAGCCGCGGUAAUAC
rnacentral:rRNA from 1 species